GGGCUUGACAUCCCACGAACCUGCCCGAAAAGGUGGGGUGCCCGCAAGGGAGCGUGGAGACAGGUGGUGCAUGGCUGUCGUCAGCUCGUGUCGUGAGAUGUUGGGUUAAGUCCCGCAACGAGCGCAACCCUCACCCCUAGUUGCCACCGGGUUAAGCCGAGCACUCAAGGGGAACUGCCAGCGUCAAGCUGGAGGAAGGCGGGGAUGACGUCAAGUCAUCAUGCCCCUUACGCCCUGGGCUACACACGUGCUACAAUGGCCAGUACAAAGGGACGCGAGACUGCGAAGUGGAGCUAAUCCCAAAAAGCUGGUCUAAGUUCGGAUUGCAGUCUGCAACUUGACUGCAUGAAGGAGGAAUCGCUAGUAAUCGCGUAUCAGCCCGGCGCGGCGAAUACGUUCCCGGGCCUUGUACACACCGCCCGUCACACCACGAAAGCUGUCUGUACUCGAAGUCGCUGAG
rnacentral:rRNA from 1 species